rnacentral:sRNA from 1 species
AAGGAUCCCCAGGCGUGGCCAAGC